UACGUAGGGUGCAAGCGUUAAUCGGAAUUACUGGGCGUAAAGCGUGCGCAGGCGGUUUUGUAAGUCUGUCGUGAAAUCCCCGGGCUUAACCUGGGAAUGGCGAUGGAGACUGCAAGGCUGGAAUCUGGCAGAGGGGGGGUAGAAUUCCACGUGUAGCAGUGAAAUGCGUAGAGAUGUGGAGGAACACCGAUGGCGAAGGCAGCCCCCUGGGCUAAGAUUGACGCUCAUGCACGAAAGCGUGGGGAGCAAACAGG
rnacentral:rRNA from 1 species